AUUGAACGCUGGCGACAGGCCUAACACAUGCAAGUCGAGCGGAGCGGCAGACGGGUGAGUAAUGCCUAGGAAUCUUCCUGGUAGUGGGGUAUAACGUCCGGAAACGCGCGCUAAUACCGCAUACUAUCAGAUGAGCCUAGGUCGGUUUAGCUAGUUGGGGGUGUAAAAGCCUACCAAGGCGACGAUCCGUAACUGGUCUGAGAGUAUGAUCAGUCACACUGUAACUGAGACACGGUCCAGAAUCCUAAGGGAGGGAGCAGUGGGGAAUAGUGGACAAUGGGCGAAAGCCUGAUCCAGCCAUGCCGCGUGUGUGAAGAAGGUCUUCGGAUUGUAAAGCACUUUAAGUUGGGAGGCGUUACCAACAGAAUAAGCACCGGCUAACUUCGUGCCAGCAGCCGCGGUAAUAC
rnacentral:rRNA from 1 species